AUACUUACCUUGCAGGGAGAUCCCAUGAUCAUGAAGGAAGUGUUUCCUAAGGAGGCCUCAUCCAUUACAACCUAGAUGUGAUGACCCCUGGGACUUCCCCAAAUGGGAAACUUGAAUGCAUAAUUUGUGGUCAUGGAGAACUGAGUUCAUGCUCUCUAC